GGUGUCGAAGGCGGGAUAAAGAACUUCGCCCUGGCACUGGAGGGCUGGGCCCCGGGGAUGUUCCUGGGAGCGGCUCACAGGCCCCAGCCUGCAGCCUCAGGCCCCUGGGCAGGGGUGUGCGCAUGCUCGUGAUGACGCCUGCGGGAAGAAGGGACCUGGAUUACAUUCAUACAUUCGACAGAUAUUAUGUGCUGGUCCUGCUGUAGGCCCUGAACAGCUGUGAGCAAGGAGUGCAUCCAGUAGAGUCACACAGACAGAAAUAAAACAGACAACAGACACGUAAAAAGCUUUCUCUAUCAGGAGAGAAGAAAAGGUAAACGAGUAAUUGAAAAUUCGAAAAACAAACAUUAAUGAAACUAACCAGAAAGAUGCCAUAAGAUGGAAUGGGAGUUGUUGGCUUCCACAGUGUGAGGAAAGGAUGGAGAUUGCUCUGAAAACCAGGACAUUUGGCUCAAGAGCCAACAAUUGCUUAAACUAAAAAGAAGAGAAAAGAGAAACAAAGGGACCAUCGGAAGUAGCAGAGUGUAGUAGAAGUACCUGGCAUUAAGCUUUUAAUUGCAUCCAACUCAUAUGACAUCCAUCUUGAAUAAACAUACAGCUAGCUGUAUGAUAAAGCUACUAGCAAAACAACCGUCUAAGGAAUGGGCCUGCCCCCACCCAUGAAGUUCCCUCCUUCAGAAAGCCCUGGGUGACCUACAGAACUGACCACCCAAGUGACCCCACUUCCCCUUCCUGUGCCCUAAGUCCCACUCUUAUGCUUUAAACUAGCCAAUAGAGAACCCCUGGGUGGCUCAGUCAGUUGAGCAUCAGACUCUUGAUUUUGGCUCAAGUCAUGAUCCCAGGAUGGUGAGACUGAGCACGGCUCAGUGCAGGGCUGGAGCCUGCUUAAGAUUCUCUCUCUCUCUUUCUCUCUCUCUCUCUCCCCCUGUGUCCUUCCCUUGCUUGUGCAUGUGCAUGUGCUCUCUCUCAAAUAAAAAUUGAUGAUAGAUAGAUGGAUAGAUAGAUAGAUAGAUAGAUAGAUAAACAAACUACCCAAUAGAGUGUACCUGUGAAACCUGAGACUGCUACCUUGGGGCCCUGCUAAAGGCAGAGCCCUGGGUCCAAGCUUUCUCUCUUUCUCUACCCCUGACUUCACUGUGCAGUCCUUGGGUGUGUCUUAUACCUUCCAGGACUUGUGAAUAAUAAAUCUCAUUCCUCAAAGUU